AAAGGCUGCCUUCAGCCUCAGAGACGUCCUAUGUGGUGUGUGUGAGUGUGUGUGAGUGUGACACAUGAGCUGCGACUCAAAAGGAGUUGGGGGGCCGCUGGAAAAGGGAAAAAAAAGAGCCAUUUUCCCAAGACCGCCAUAGCAAGUUGCAUCCAGCCCCACCAGCCCCAUUGAUUCCGUAAAACAGGGAACAUUUCCCCCCCUCUUUCCUCUUAGAUCACCCCCACCUUUCCUCCCCACACCCAAAAUAACAGGCUUUUCCUACUUGCUGGGCCUACAAGAUUGAAUAAGAAACUUUUUUUUUUCCAAAGAAAAAAAAAGAGAGGUAGGAUUUUUUUUAAAAAGAAUCUGUUGAAAGUUUCACACCCACCCCGCUACCAUCGCCCUCCUUUCCCCACCCCGGUGUGUGAGAUAAUAUAUUUUCCCUCCCACCUCCCGUGACUCCCUCCCUUUUUGGACCUACCCCACAUUUUGUGCAAAACGCAUCAGCCAUGAACAAGCUGUAUAUUGGGAACCUCAACGAGAACGUGACUCCGGCGGAUCUGGAGAAAGUCUUCAACGACCACAAGAUCUCCUUCAGUGGCCAGUUCUUGGUGAAAUCUGGCUACGCCUUUGUCGACUGCCCAGAUGAGCAAUGGGCCAUGAAAGCCAUCGAAACUUUUUCUGGCAAAGUGGAGCUGCAUGGAAAACAACUUGAGAUUGAACACUCAGUACCUAAAAAGCAAAGGAGCCGCAAAAUUCAGAUAAGAAACAUCCCCCCUCAGUUACGAUGGGAGGUAAGUGAGGUUCUGGAUGGUUUGCUAGCUCAGUAUGGUACUGUGGAAAACUGUGAACAAGUGAAUACGGACAGUGAGACGGCAGUUGUCAACGUCACCUACUCCAACCGGGAACAGACCAGACAAGCCAUUAUGAAACUAAACGGCCACCAACUGGAAAACCACGCACUGAAGGUCUCCUACAUCCCCGAUGAACAAACUGUCCAGGGUGCAGAGAAUGGGCGCCGAGGGGGCUUUGGAUCGCGGGGCGCCCCGAGGCAAGGUUCACCCGUGGCUUCAGGAGCACCCGUGAAACAGCAGCCGGUAGACAUUCCCCUCCGCCUUCUCGUUCCCACCCAGUAUGUGGGAGCCAUCAUUGGCAAAGAAGGUGCCACCAUCCGCAACAUCACCAAGCAGACGCAGUCCAAAAUCGACGUGCACCGGAAGGAAAACGCCGGGGCAGCAGAGAAAGCGAUCAGUAUCCAUUCGACCCCAGAGGGCUGUUCUGCCGCUUGCAAGAUGAUUUUGGAAAUCAUGCAGAAGGAGGCAAAAGACACCAAGACGGCUGAUGAAGUGCCCCUGAAAAUCCUAGCCCAUAACAACUUUGUGGGACGGCUGAUCGGCAAAGAAGGCCGCAACUUGAAGAAGGUGGAGCAGGACACAGAGACAAAGAUCACCAUCUCUUCGCUGCAGGAUUUGACCCUGUACAACCCUGAAAGGACCAUCACUGUGAAAGGCUCCAUUGAGAACUGCUGCAAAGCAGAGCAAGAGAUCAUGAAGAAAGUGAGAGAAGCCUAUGAGAACGAUGUGGCGGCUAUGAGUCUACAGUCACACCUGAUACCUGGGCUGAACCUAGCUGCCGUUGGCCUCUUUCCUGCCUCUUCCAAUGCGGUGCCUCCUCCCCCAAGUAGUGUCUCUGGAGCAGCCCCAUACAGCUCUUUUUUGCCUCCUGAGCAAGAGACGGUGCACGUCUUCAUUCCUGCCCAGGCUGUGGGUGCGAUCAUCGGCAAGAAGGGACAGCACAUCAAACAGCUCUCCAGAUUCGCAAGUGCCUCCAUCAAGAUUGCUCCUCCAGAGACGCCAGAUUCCAAAGUGCGAAUGGUGAUAAUCACUGGACCACCGGAAGCCCAAUUCAAGGCUCAAGGGCGGAUUUAUGGCAAGCUUAAAGAGGAGAACUUUUUUGGCCCCAAAGAAGAAGUGAAGCUAGAGACGCACAUCCGAGUCCCCGCUUCGGCCGCAGGGAGAGUCAUUGGCAAAGGAGGCAAAACGGUCAACGAGCUGCAGAACCUGACAGCAGCAGAAGUAGUUGUCCCGCGGGACCAAACUCCCGAUGAGAACGAGCAAGUCAUUGUCAAAAUCAUCGGACACUUCUACGCCAGCCAGAUGGCACAACGCAAAAUACGCGAUAUCCUCGCUCAGGUGAAACAACAGCAUCAGAAGGGGCAGAACAGCCAGACGCAAACACGGAGGAAAUAGGAAGUUUCUUUACCCCGGGUGUGUGAAAGAGAAAACAAAAGAGAGAGAGAGAGAGAGAGAGAGAGAGAGAGAGAGAGAGAGAGAGAGAGAGAAUUAUCCACACUCUGAGGCUGUUUCCCUACAUAAGCCUUGAAGAAGAUGGAAAAAAGAAUCCUAGGAUUGUUUGGCUACCACCAUUUCCCCUUAAAUUGGGACAGCUACCUCAAGGAAGAGUAGUAAAGAUAACUUAUGCAGUGGAAUGGUGGCUUCUCUUAAUUUUUGCCAUAGCUGCAUCGCAAACUCUUACCCUUCGCUUUAGUUCUGGUGCUGUGGGAUCCAGUAAAACUGGCUUAGUGGCAGUGUCUGGCCAAAAUACAGCAGGGGCCCAAAAGCUCACGAGAAUGUCACCUGUGAAUUCUGCUCUCUUUCUCGAGAACUUUGUAAGUUCUGCAACAAGGAAACUCCUGUGGUGCAAGCCGAAACUCCAGUUUUCACGACCGAGAUGUGUUAUUCUGAAAAUCGGCAACGUUAGCCAUAGCUGCUCAGAGAUUACCUUCCACUUAAUCUCGUGGCAGCUGGCAUUGCUUGGCAUGUAUUUGAGGGGCAGGGUAUAUAGAAACAUAGGAAGCUGCCUUACACCAAGUAAGGCCAAUGGUUCAUCUAAGUCAGAAUUAUCUACAACACUGACAGGUAGCAGUUCUUCAGGGUUGCAGGCAGGAGUCUUACCUGGAGAUGCCAGAGAUUAUACCUGGGGCUUCCUGCAUGCAAGACACAGGCUACAUCCAUCCUGGGACAGGCGCUUUGAGUUUUAAGGACCUGUGCCUUUGUUCUGUCCUUUCCUUGAGUCUCAAACUUGGGUCUUGAGCUGGUUUUGGACUACAACUCCCAUCAUCCCUAGCUAGCAGAUCCGGUGGUCAGGGAUAAUGGGAAUUGUAGUUAAAAAAAAAAAAACUGGCGACCCAAGCUUGGAAAACACUGCUCUCUAGACCAUAACAGACCUCUCUUAUUUCACAGUUGAAUUGAUUCACAUGCCAGAAGCACAUGCAGGCAUGAUCUCUGUUGCUUUUCAUUGAAAGGCUCUCAAGUCUGCUCAGUCUGUUACAUAGUUCAGUUACAACAUCAGUGGGAAUAAGCCGGUCGCUAGCAGCUGACGUUUCCAAGCCAUGUGCUAUGAUAAUGUUAAUAAACAGAGACACCCCACCCCAGCCUCCUGUUUGAAUCAGAGAGUUUUUCUAAUAGCUUCAAGAAGCAACAAGCUGGAUCCUGCUGCACCAAACCUGGAGAAGAGAGGGAGGAAGCCAUUACCCCUUUAUCUGUAGCUCCCCCCCCCCCAGAAGAACUCGGAAACAUGAAGACAUUACUGUACAGAUCUUGACUUAAGUUCCUUGGGAAGACAGGUUGAAAAUGCAUAGGGGGCAGUGUUGGUGCAUCCUGUUUUUCAGCCCAGGAACAACAACUGGAAAUGCAAACAACGAAUUUUAGUAAACAGGCUGGAUAGCUUAGUCCAAGGCGUUGUGCCAACUGGAAUUUUCUGUAAUAAGGCCACGUUGGAUGAGAGGGAUCAUCUGCCAGCAGCUGCAUGGAAGGUCCGUUCAGAUGAAAGAGUUUGAUUUGCACACAGCCAGCUGAGAAUUGACCCAGGAGUUCUUCUGUAGUAGUUCUAUACUGAACAGAACUGGUGGGAGGCAAGACGUUUGGCUAUGUCUUGUGAAAGCAGGGAAGAGUCAGAUAAGGUGGACGUAGGCCAUAUUUUACUCAUCAGUAGCUUAAAUCACUGUGUGCAUGUGAGCCACAGAGGAAGCUGAACAUUCAAGUGACGUUUUAGCAAGCAUCCAUACUAAGAAUGAAGGCAAGUGGUGUCUCUUAUGCGGGAGAGUACAAACAAACAAACCCUGCAGCAUUCAGCUUAAACAUGUUGGAAGCUGAUUGUAAGAAUCUGCAAAGGGUGAGAAUCACUUGCCUUCUAAUAGGCAAAAUACGAUGGUACAUCCCCAUUUGUUCCGUUCACACCCUGGCUGAAAUUUUGGCUACACAACCCUCUUGAAAAUAAUAAUAAUACAGUGUUAGUCUUCUCACUCCUUUAAAUCUGUAUUUGAAUCCUGCGUCUUUGUCAUCGGCUACAGAAUCUUUUUCCACGUUUGACUUUUUGAAAGCUAAAUUAUCUCCCUUGGUUUGCGGUUGGGUGUACAGGCAACAGAGGGCAGCCGUGUCAGGCAAGGAUCGAUUUGAUACAAGUGGCAUUCGAAACAUGAAGCGCAUCUAGGUGGAAUGGCAGUGACGGUAAACUAAGUAAUAGUUAUGGGGAGUGUGUCAGAGAGAAGGUAAGAUUCCUGUCACUGGUCCCUGCCUACAAUAUAUAGCAUUCCCCCCGCCCCCCCAAAAAGGCAUGUGCUAUUUGAUGGAAUGACUGGUUUACACAAUUUUCAGGGAAACUGGCAUCUUUUGGGCAUUUUGUUGCCUACAUACAAGAUAACAACCAUUUGGUGCAGGUGUCUGAUUUAAACUGUACGCAACUAUCAGAUAUCCUGAAGCGGGGGAGGGACGGAGGGACCCACUUAUUCCUUCAAAAUACCCUUAUACUGAAUAUAAUAAGCUGGCCUAGCCUUAUCUGCCUCCCAAGGAUGGUGCAAUGGCCAAACAGAGCAGGUCAUGGAACAAUACCUUCCGCUUCUUUGAUUCUGUAAUCGCAAAGGGAAUACAGAAUUAAUUUCCUGGCUGUGCCCAUAGAAACGGAACCCUCUUGACCAGGAUUUAGCUGUCCGGAAAUCUAAACAGUUGCCCUGUUCUAGAGUGGCAGAAUCAAAGAGUGCCUAAUAUGUAGGGUGGAGUAUUUGAGGUUGUGUGUGCAUUUUUAGUUGGCGGUAUGAGUACCGCGCUCACCCACUGAACACCGGCAGCACCCAUUUUAGAUAUAAAAUCCUACUUGCACCUGUGGAUGCCGUUAGCCAGAUCAGGGUCUGCUGUCUGCUUCCAAAAGCUGGAUGGACCAGCUUGAGUCUAGCCCUAGCACCACUGCUUUAAAACAGUGGUGCCUGAGUAGUAAAAGAGUUCUGUAGGACUCAAAAGCUCACUUCUAGCCUUUCAAAUGCCUGCCCUGGUCCAGCAUUUCUCCAGCAAUAGGAAUCCUAAGUCACGGCUUCCUUAAAUCUGACACUCUCUCUUUUAAUCAGGGUGAUUCCGUGCACUGCAUAUACAUGACGGAAGAGGGAAAAGACCCCCCCCCCCAAAGACCAGCCUGUGCCUUGGCUUAGUUCAGGUUGGGUGCCACCCCCCCCACCUCCCCAAGCCUCUCAGCCAGCGUUAUCAAGCAGCACCCCAAAGUGCCUGUUUGAGCUGCAUGUCAUGCCAGCCUAAAGGGCAUGACGACCAUAUAUACAUAUAAUAUGAAUGAAUAUAACCAAUUCAUGUUUGUUUAUCUACCUCUUAGCACCAAUAGAUUAAAAAAAAUAAAAAUAAAAGUAAAUAGGGUAGUGGAUAAUACAACAUGCUGUGUAGUGUAGGGAGAAAAAUACUUCUGUUUUUUUUCCAAAGAAAUAAUUGUUCUGCUUAAUAAAUAAAUGAAUGAACUAGAAAUGACGGGCGCUCUCUGCAUUUUAAAGCAGACUUGGGGGGAUUUGUAGAGGGCUGUGGAAUGAUGGGCUAGAGGCAAGGUGUGUUUGCAGGUAAAAGAUGCUUGGUGCGGCUGACAUGUUUCCGCAACGGGCGCAUCGCAGAGCAAGCCGCAGUCUUGAUUCCUGCUACGGAAUCACUGGGACAAGUCGCUGGCCCAGAUCCAAAGAACAACGGGGGCAGGAUGUGGGGCGUGUUCAAGCUGUGUGUGUGUGUGUGCACGCCCAGGAACAUCAGGAGUGAGCAGGGUAGGUGCAUACAGGAAACCACCAAGUCUGUGGCUUCUACAGGUUAGAUUGCGUUUAUUGCUGGGACAGAGAAUCGCGGCUGCUCGGGCAUCCGAAUGUAAAAUGGCGGCAAAAUAAUCCCUUGCCGCUUUGCUGUGAAGGAGGGUAAAGGCAACAGAGACUGGGAAGCAGUUUCUCUAUUGAGGAACUAAUUCACAGCCACAAGCUAUUUUGACAAUAAUGCUCUCAGGGCAGCUGCUGGUGUUCCACCAAGGCUGCAUUGCCCAACUCCCCUCUACAAGUCAAUUAACCCUGGUUUUUAAAGUGUGUGUUAGUUUGUAAGAGCCCUGCAACCUCAACUGUUUCAUUCCCCCUUUUAUUACUUUGUUUUAAAUGCACCACGUGAUUACUCGUUUCUCCUCUUUCCUAACAAAACCCCAUCGUAAGUCCCCACUCCCAUUUUCUUUCCAUGGUCUUGGCGUAAGCGCUGACAAGAGUUGAGACAGCUAUCCAGCAGUGAUUGAUUGAAUUGUGCCUUAGAUCCACAAGUGCAUAGUCUUUUGCAAAUCUUUUCCUCGUUUGAGGGUACUGGAAACACACACACACACACACACACACACACACACACCCCAACAACAACCUCACUAGAUCUGUGUCAAUGGUAAGACUCGUAAGAAUUGUUUUGUUGGAUGAGAGUCCAUAAGUCCAGCUUUAGGCUAGCAGUCUUGAUUCCAACAGUAACAACUUAGAUGGCUCUGGGAAGAUCGGAGCGAGAAAUGACAGUCAUUUUCUAGCCACCUGUUUUGCCACCAGCAUCAGAAAUACUGCCUCUGAACAUGGAAGGGUUAGUUUAGUUAACCUGGUAAAUAUCUCUAAACUUUCUCUGAAGCCAUCUCAGGUGUGAAAAAAAGCAAGAAGUUUACUUCUUUCAGUUACUUUGCUGGAGACCUUGUAUUAAAGCUAUUUUGGUACUUGGGUGUGGGUCCCAAUUCCUUCAGAGCAAUCUGUUGUUAAAACGAUUUUAUGACAAGUCACAUGUAUAUGCAACGAGGUUAUGUGAAUUUUUUUUGGGGGGGGGGUUGUUUGCCGUACAAUAUUAUAAGGACAUGUAAAAAAACAACAACAGCGUCCACUGUUUUCUCUUUUUUAUUCUAAGCCAUUGAAAUCAUCACAAAUUCAGACUAAAUCUGAAAGGCUGUGCUCUUAACAAUUGUUUUCCUCCCUUUUGGUCAACUGUAUUAAAAAAAAAGUUGUUUUUUUAAUCUUUUCUCUCUUUCAAUUCCCCUUUCUGUUCUUAGACUCCUUGUCUAUUGCAUGAGGCAGGUUAGUUGGCUCACAUCCAAAGUUGCGACUACAGAUGGACUGCGAGCUCCAUUUUUACUUCCAGCUUGGUUAUUGCCACAAACUGCUUUACUCCACUGUUUCAUUUUUUUUAAUAAAACGGAAAAAAAUCAUA